AUUGAACGCUGGCGGGAUGCUUUACACAUGCAAGUCGAACGGCAGCAUAGAGAGCUUGCUCUCUGAUGGCGAGUGGCGAACGGGUGAGUAAUAUAUCGGAACGUGCCCAGUAAUGGGGAAUAACUAGCCGAAAGGUUAGCUAAUACCGCAUACGACCUACGGGUGAAAGCAGGGGAUCUUAGGACCUUGCGUUAUUGGAGCGGCCGAUAUCUGAUUAGCUUGUUGGUGGGGUAAAAGCCUACCAAGGCAACGAUCAGUAGCUGGUCUGAGAGGACGAUCAGCCACACUGGAACUGAGACACGGUCCAGACUCCUACGGGAGGCAGCAGUGGGGAAUUUUGGACAAUGGGGGAAACCCUGAUCCAGCCAUCCCGCGUGAGUGAAGAAGGCCUUCGGGUUGUAAAGCUCUUUCGAAAGUGAAGAAAACUUAUUUCGUAAUAUGUUAUGAGUAUGACGGUAACUUUAGAAGAAGCACCGGCUAACUACGUGCCAGCAGCCGCGGUAAUACGUAGGGUGCGAGCGUUAAUCGGAAUUACUGGGCGUAAAGCGUGCGCAGGCGGUUUUGUAAGUCAGAUGUGAAAUCCCCGAGCUUAACUUGGGAACUGCGUUUGAAACUACAAGACUAGAGUGUGUCAGAGGGGGGUAGAAUUCCACGUGUAGCAGUGAAAUGCGUAGAGAUGUGGAGGAAUACCAAUGGCGAAGGCAGCCCCCUGGGAUAACACUGA
rnacentral:rRNA from 1 species